CACUCUAAGAAACUAGAUGGAGUCAUUUUUAAAGUGGACUUUGAGAAAGCGUACGACAAAGUUAAGUGGCCUUUCCUGCAACAAGCUCUGCGUAUGAAAGGGUUCGACGAGGGCUGGAGGAGCCAGAUUGAAUCGUUUACGCAGAAGGGUAGUGUUGGUAUUAAAGUGAAUGACGACAUUGGUCGUUACUUCCAGACACACAAGGGCUUGCGGCAAGGUGAUCCGAUGUCCCCUAUUCUGUUCAACAUAGUGGUGGACAUGUUGGCAGUUCUGAUAGGGAGAGCCAAGGAGGCAGGCCAAGUUGGAGGCUUGGUGCCUCAUUUAGUGAAUGGAGGUAUUUCCAUCCUGCAGUACGCUGAUGACACUAUCAUCUUCAUGGAGCAUGACUUGGUAAAAGCAAGAAAUAUGAAGCUGUUGCUUUGUUUGUUUGAGCAAUUGAGUGGGCUCAAAAUUAACUUCCAUAAAAGUGAGUUGUUCUGCUUUGGUAGAGCCAAAGAGGAACAAGAAGCCUAUAAACAAUUGUUUGGGUGUGGUUUGGGGGAGUUACCAUUCACAUACCUAGGGAUUCCAAUACAUCACCGUAGGCUUACGAACAAUGAAUGGAAGUGUAUUGAAGAUCGAUUUGAGAAAAAGCUAAGCUGUUGGAAGGGUAAGCUAAUGUCAUAUGGAGGCCGGUUAAUUCUUAUUAAUUCGGUGUUGACGAGUAUGCCCAUGUUCCUUUUGUCUUUUUUUGAAGUACCGGUUGGGGUAAGGAAAAGACUGGACUUCUAUCGAUCGCGGUUCUUUUGG
rnacentral:rRNA from 1 species